AUGGAUGACAACCGAUGCCCCAUGAUGAGCUGGAAUGUUCGGGGUAUGAACACUCCAGCAAAGCGCGGAGCCAUUCGUGAGAUUGCUCUAUCGCAUAGAUUAGCCCUCCUCUGUCUCCAGGAGACGAAGAUAGAUGUCUGGGACCGAGGCCUUGUGUCGGAUACUGGGGGGGCCCUGCUAACUGAUUGCAUCAUCCUCCUAGCCAUAGGAACGAGGGGAGGUGCAGCCAUCUUCUGGAACGCAACCCUAGUCUCGGUUUCUUCCCAUAGCAUAGGCCAAUUUGCCAUUACGUCCAGAGUUACAAUGCUGCAGACGGGUCAAUCCUUUUGGCUCACCACG
rnacentral:rRNA from 1 species